rnacentral:antisense_RNA from 1 species
CGAGCCUCCUGCCGCACACACGUUCGCACGCGGCGGCCGGCGCGCUGGAGCGAGAGGUUUGGAGCAAUCCGUCCUCCGCGCGCACGAGCUCAGUCCCUACUGCCCCGACAGGUGUGGAACCCGCCAUCCCCGCUAUGGUCCGAGGAAGUGUACAGCACCGCUCCGUACUACACGUCCUGGGCCCGCGGUCCCCGAUGCCCCCCGGAGCUCUGUGCACCUCCACUGAAACGCAAGGAGCAGACAGAACCUACACCAUCCGUGAGGUAGCUUCUGCCAACCCCUCUCCAUCUCUAGAGCUGAUUCCGGUUGAUGUUCUUAACACCUUCCUGUAUCAACACUCUUCCAGGUCUAGGCUGAAAUUUAAAAUCUGUGUAAAUGUUGACACAAUAAUGUUUGUACAAACAAAAAAGACCAAAAAUGAAAACCCCCUAGUUAAUUGCUGCAUAUUCUAAAGAUGGGAUCUUGUGGAGAAAUUGGAACUCUUAUGCAAUGCUGAUAGGAAUGUAGAUGGUACCACCACUAUGCAAAACAGUGGGGAAGUUCCUCAAAAAACUAAAACUAGAGCUACCAUAUGAUCCAGCAAUCCCACUUCUGGGUAAAUAUCCAAAAGAAUUGAAAGCAGGAUAUCGAAGAGAUAUUUGCACAUUCAUGUUCAUUGCAGCACUAUUCACAAUAGCCAAGAGAUUGAGGCAGCCCAAAUGUUCAUCAACAGAUGAAGAGAUGAAUGAAAAUGUGAUAUAUAUAUAUAUAAUGGAAUAUUAUUCAGCCUUAAAAAGGAAGGAAAUCUUAUCACAGGCUACAACAUAGAUGAACCUUGAGGAUGUUGUGCCAAGUGCAAUAAACCAGUCACAAAAGGACAAAUACUG